rnacentral:rRNA from 1 species
CGGUAAUUCCAGCUCCAAUAGCGUAUACUAAAGUUGUUGCAGUUAAAAAGCUCGUAGUUGGAUUUCUGCGGGGACGGAGCGGCCGGUCGCAAUUUGCGACUCGAGCUAGCGCUUUCCCCGCACCCUGCCGCGAACCGUGCUACCAUUAGUUUGGUGGCGCUGGGGAUCGGCUCGAUUACUUUGAGAAAAAUAGAGUGUUCAAAGCAGGCCACACGCCUUGAAUAAGUUAGCAUGGAAUAAUGACUAAGGACUUUGGUUCUUUUCGUUGGUGUUCGGGACUGAAGUAAUGAUUGAUAGGGACAGUUGGGGCGGUCCGUAUUCCAAAGCGAGAGGUGAAAUUCUUAGACCUUCGGAAGACGAACAGCUGCGAAAGCGUUCCGCAAGGAUGUUCCCUUUGAUCAAGAACGAAAGUUGGGGGAUCGAAGACGAUCAGAUACCGUCGUAGUCUCAACUAUAAACUAUACCAGCUAGGGAUCGGCCAACGUUUAAUUUAUCGACUUGGUCGGCACCUUAUGAGAAAUCAAAGCAUCUGGGUUCCGGGGGGAGUAUGGUCGCAAGGCUGAAACUUAAAGGAAUUGACGGGAGGGCACCACCAGCCGUGGAGCCUGUGGCUUAAUUUGACUCAACACGGGAAAACUUACCAGGUCCAGACAUAGGAAGGAUUGACAGAUUGAUAGCUCUUUCUUGAUUCUGUGGGUGGUGGUGCAUGGCCGUUUUUAGUCGGUGGAUGUGAUCUGUCUGCUUAAUUGCGUUAACGGACGAGACCCCAGCCUGCUAAAUAGCGCGGCCGAGCUUUGCUCGGUGCGAGCUUCUUAGAGGGACCAUGAUGCGCGAUAGCACAAGGAAGUUUGGGGCAACAACAGGUCUGUGAUGCCCUUAGAUGUUCUGGGCCGCACACGGGCUACACUGGCGCCUGCAACGAGCAUAUCAGCUGGCCCGAGAGGGUCUUGGCUAAUCUUUGGAACCGGCGCCGUGCUUGGGAUUGACCAUUGCAAUUGUUGGUCAUGCAACGAGGAAUGCCUUGUAAACGCGAGUCAUCAGCUCGCAUUGAAUACGUCCCUGCCCUUUGUACACACCGCCCGUCGCUCCUACCGAUGAAUGUUCCGAUGAAAUUUUCGGAGAGCACCAGAGAACGGGGCUCCGCCUUGCAGAUCUGGAGGCUCAAAGUCACUUAAAUUUGAACAUUUCGAGGAAGGAGAAGUCGUAACAAGGUAACC